UGAUCACCUAUGACCGAGCAAGUAACUAUAUUUUUAAGGCUGAUAAGAGAGGAAAAGACGAGGCUGAAAUCUUUUCUACAGUACAGUAUAGUGAAUAACACUCGAGAGGUUUUUCUUCGAAAGGCAUUGGCUUAUUAGGAGAAAACGGAAUCGGCCGUUAUCCGAAUGAGAGGAUUUAGUUAUACUAGAUCAACUAGGGUGGAACCGCGGAAGCUUAUACAGCUCUCGUCCCUUGC
rnacentral:ncRNA from 1 species